rnacentral:rRNA from 1 species
GACGAACGCUGGCGGCGUGCUUAACACAUGCAAGUCGAACGGAAAGGCCCUGCUUUUGUGGGGUGCUCGAGUGGCGAACGGGUGAGUAACACGUGAGUAACCUGCCCUUGACUUUGGGAUAACUUCAGGAAACUGGGGCUAAUACCGGAUAGGAGCUCCUGCUGCAUGGUGGGGGUUGGAAAGUUUCGGCGGUUGGGGAUGGACUCGCGGCUUAUCAGCUUGUUGGUGGGGUAGUGGCUUACCAAGGCUUUGACGGGUAGCCGGCCUGAGAGGGUGACCGGCCACAGUGGGACUGAGAUAAGGCCCAGACUCCUACGGGAGGCAGCAGUGGGGAAUAUUGCACAAUGGGCGGAAGCUUGAUGCAGCAACGCCGCGUGCGGGAUGACGGCGUUCGGGUUGUAAACCGCUUUCGCCUGUGACGAAGCGUGAGUGACGGUAAGGGGUAAAGAGGCACCGGCUAACUACGUG